rnacentral:misc_RNA from 1 species
UCCGUAAAACGGCAGUCCGGCCAGACACAAGUAACUGACCGUAGGGGUUGCGCUCGUUGUGGGACUUAACCCAACAUCUCACGACACGAGCUGACGACAGCCAUGCAGCACCUGUGCACGGGCUCCGAAGAGGGCCCGCCGUUUCUGGCGGGUUUCCCAUGUAUGUCAAGCCUAGGUAAGGUUCUUCGCGUUGCGUCGAAUUAAACCACAUGCUCCACCGCUUGUGCGGGCCCCCGUCAAUUCCUUUGAGUUUCAGCCUUGCGGCCGUACUCCCCAGGCGGGGCACUUAAUGCGUUAGCGCCGGCCCUCGGGGGGUCGCUCCCCCAAGCGCCUAGUGCCCAUCGUUUACGGCGUGGACUAC